rnacentral:rRNA from 1 species
AUUGAACGCUGGCGGCAGGCCUAACACAUGCAAGUCGAACGAGUGGGGACGGGUGAGUAACACGUGGGUAACCUCCCAUCAGAGGGGAUUACACUUGGAAACAGGUGCUACACCGAUCCUGAUGGGUGGACACGUGGUGCAUUAGCUAGUUGGUGAGGUAACGGCUCACCAAGGCCACGAUGCCUAGCCGACCUGAGAGGUUGAUCGGCCACACUGGGACUGAGACACGGCCCAGACUCCUACGGGAGGCAGCAGUAGGGAAUCUUCGGCAAUGGACGAAAGUCUGAGCGAGCAACGCCGCGUGAGUGAAGAAGGUUUUCGGAUCGUAAAGCUCUGUUGGUAGGGAAGCGGUAUCUAACCAGAAAGCCACGGCUAACUACGUGCCAGCAGCCGCGGUAAUAC